AUGGCAGACGUCGAGGGAGAGGGAAUUAAUUCGGUGGCACCUCCGUUAGUUCAGCCAUCCUCCCCUAACGGCUCCGGUGUCAGCCCAACGCAGGGCACCGGCAGUUGCCAAACGGUGACUACCGUUACGUCAGGCCCGCGACUGGUGCGGAUAGUCAAGUCUGAUUCGGGAUAUGGCUUCAAUGUCCGGGGACAGGUUAGCGAAGGAGGACAACUACGGAGCAUCAACGGGGAAUUGUAUGCCCCGCUACAGCAUGUUAGUGCUGUUUUACCAGGCGGUGCAGCGGACAGAGCCGGUAUCUCGAAAGGAGACCGGAUUCUGGAAGUUAAUAGUGUGAACGUGGAGGGGGCGACCCAUAAGCAGGUGGUGGAUCUGAUCCGUGCGGGGGAGAGGGAGCUGAUGCUGGCCGUGCUGUCUGUACCUCCCCAGGAGGCUGACUGUCUGGACCCUGGAGACGACGGCUCAGCCCAGUCCUGCUACGACUACAGCGACAAACAGGCCGUCCCCAUCUCCGUCCCCACAUACAAACACGCUGAACUCAACCAGGAGAGGUUUGUGAUGUAUAAUGUGUACAUGGCAGGCAGACAGCUGUGCUCUAAGAGGUACAGGGAGUUUGCUAUCCUCAACCAGAACCUGAAGAGAGAGUUUGCCAACUACACCUUCCCCAAAAUACCUGGCAAAUGGCCUUUUUCCCUGUCUGAACAACAACUAGACGCUAGACGCAGGGGACUGGAGGAAUACCUGGAGAAAGUGUGUUCAGUGAGGGUGAUUGGGGAGAGUGAUGUCAUGCAGGAGUUUCUGUCUGACGAGUCUGAUGAGAACUAUAACGGCGUAUCAGAUGUGGAGUUGAGGAUAGCCAUGCCUGAUAAAACCACCGUCACAGUCCGAGUCCGCAAGAACUGUACAACUGACCAGGUCUACCAGGCUGUGGUCAUGACAGUAGGAAUGGACAGCAUAACAGCCAGCUACUUUGCUCUGUUUGAGGUCAUCAACCACUCCUUUGUGCGUAAACUGGCUCCUAAUGAGUUCCCCCACAAGCUGUAUGUUCAGAACUACACAUCUGCUGUCCCUGGGACCUGCCUCACCCUGCGCAAGUGGCUCUUCACCACCGAGGAGGAGAUCCUGCUCAAUGACAACCAACUGGCCGUCAGCUACUGCUUCCACCAGGCGGUGGAUGAUGUGAAAAGGGGAUUUAUCAAGGCAGAGGAGAAGUCCUACCAGCUACAGAAAUUAGCAGAACAGAAGAAGAUGGCCAUGUAUCUCAGUAUGUUACGGGGCUGUGAAGGCUACAAUGAGAUCAUCUUCCCACACUGCUCCUGUGACUCCCGACGCAAAGGCCACGUCGUCACAGCCAUCAGCAUACACAACUUUAAACUGCACGCCUGCACAGAGGAGGGAACACUAGAGAACCAGGUGAUUGUGUUUGAGUGGGUGGAGAUGCAGCACUGGGACACUGAUGAGGAGGGCAUGGCCUUCUGCUUCCAGUACGCCAGGGCAGAGAAGAAACCUCGCUGGGUCAAGAUCUUUACUCCCUACUUCAACUACCUGCAUGAGUGCGUUGAGAGAGUCUUCUGUGAACUCAAGUGGAGGAAAGAGGUGGAAGAGGAGGCUGUGGAUAAGGACAAUAAGAACUGCAGUAAAGAAGAAUAUCUUCCAGCUGUUGAGACACAGAAGGAAUGGAGGCACCUAGGAGGAGAGAUCAUCACCUCCUAAACAUGCUCUCCUCCAUCCAUCCCUCUGGUCUGGUUCGGCCCGGAACUACCACCACUACCUGUCCUCACACAACUACUACUACAUCAACUACAAACCAACAAACUACAACUUCUACAUACCAAUAACAGCAACUACAGAUCAACAACCACUACACACCAUCAAACUACAAAUGAACGACUUCUGGACUGACUGAAGGAGAAACAAUGACGCACGCACACUACAACUUAAGCUGUUAUUCACCAUGAACCCUUGAAUACAACCCAAGCACACGAUAUAAACACAAGCCAACAGGAAGCUACAGUAGAAACAUAUAGCAGGUUUGUACAGGUGAAUAAGUAACUCUAAAAACUUAGAUACAUGCCUUCAAAACUCCAUGGAGACCUGUGACUAUUGGCUAAGGAGGCUAACGUCUUGUGGUGCGAUUGGCUGAAGGAGAUGGUUCUCUGAGACGAUAUUGGACAAGGGAUUUGACAACGUGCAAGGACAACGUUCAAGGCCAUUUUGUGGCCACUUUGGAGUGCUCUGGACUGGAACAGAGUGCAGUGGAAGAAGAGAACAAAAGAGGGAUACAGAUGCUGAAACAGAACCUGUUCUAAAAGAGGAAACGGCUGGUGGUGAUGGAACAGAACCUGUUCUAAAAGAGGAAACGGCUGGUGGUGAUGGAACAGAACCUGUUCUAAAUGAGGAAACGGCUGGUGGUGAUGGAACAGAACCUGUUCUCAAAGAGGAAACGGCUGGUGGUGAUGGAACAGAACCUGUUCUAAAUGAGGAAACGGCUGGUGGUGAUGGAACAGAACCUGUUCUAAAGGAGGAAACGGCUGGUGGUGAUGGAACAGAACCUGUUCUAAAAGAGGAAACGGCUGGUGGUGAUGGAACAGAACCUGUUCUAAAAGAGGAAACGGCUGGUGGUGAUGGAACAGAACCUGUUCUAAAAGAGGAAACGGCUGGUGGUGAGGGAACAGAACCUGUUCUAAAAGAGGAAACGGCUGGUGGUGAUGGAACAGAACCUGUUCUAAAAGAGUAAACGGCUAGUGGUGAUGGAACAGAACCUGUUCUAAAAGAGGAAAUGGCUGGUGGUGAUGGAACAGAACCUGUUCUAAAAGAGGAAAUGGCUGGUGGUGAGGGAACAGAACCUGUUCUAAAAGAGGAAACGGCUGGUGGUGAUGGAACAGAACCUGUUCUAAAAGAGGAAAUGGCUGGUGGUGAUGGAACAGAACCUGUUCUAAAAGAGGAAACGGCUGGUGGUGAUGGACUGAGGAGACGCAUCUGAAAAGUUAUAAACAGGAAGUGUGUGUGUGUGUGUCUGUCGACUGAUUAUGGACAGCUGUGAGAGUCUAGGUUGGAACCCUGGAGGUAGAAACAACCCUUCUCUCUGACUCUGAACUGAACUCCCAGAAUGAGUCUAGACAGACAGACGGAGGGAAACGGCCGCAUGAUACAAGAGACUGGACUCAUAUGAACCACACAGACCGAUUGACAUAUAGAUAUUAUCUCCUGUUUGUAGCCACUAUCUCCAUUUCAAAGAUAUCUACUGAAGAGACUAUUACAGAGAGAGAGAAACCAUACAUUUCCUUUAUUUGUGACUAUUGGGCCGAGCAGAACCAAGGGUAGCAUGUGUGUUUCAGCUGCUGGUUCUGUUUUAGUUUACAGAUGCUGAAAUUGCCCUGAAGCCAUUUUUGAAUACACAAACCUUCUCAUUAAAACACACACACACACACACACACACACACACACAAUGCUCAUCAUGUAGGAAUUGGAUCCCAGAAAAGUAUUCUGCCAUCUUGACAGAUACCUGAACAAGGAACAUGUUUACUUCACCUGUGUGUUUUGUGUACCAACAGAUAUAUAUAUAUAUCUAUCAUUUUUAAUGUGGACAUUUCAGACAUUGGACAGAAUAGCACAAAAAGAACCCUGUAAGAUGUUGACCACGUUAAGCUCAAUCUGUAUUCAUUCUAUCCUAGCCUAAGCUUUCUGUUCUGCUGAUGCCUAACCGUGGGGUCUCAUGAAGACUGUAUUUAUACUGGGUUGUAAAAACACUGAACUCAAAGUGCAUCUCGAUUUACAUGUUUUGUGUCUUUCUGUUCUUGAGAAAAGGUGUGAUGCUUUAGAAAACACAUCGUGAUUGUCAGUCUGUAGGAUAUGUCUAUGGUGUUGGUUUAGGUGAGUCUUUGGUUCAAUUGAUAUAUUGGUCCUUGUGUAUCUGAAGACGCUGCAGUGCUCAGAACGACCUGCAGGGGUCUCCCUCCCACUGAGAAACACUAGAUCAGUUCCUAUACAACAGGGCUGGCCAGUAUUCUAACAGAGGGCCGGUGUGGGUGCAGGCUUUUGCCCCAGCCAAGCAGUAACACACCUGAUUCAAUAUCUGGUGGAUGUUAUCAUUGGAUGCUGAUGCAACACCACACACAUCUUUAAAUGCAGUGUUAACCUACAGGAGGUAUACGCCCUAAACCCCACAGAGGUUUAAACAGUGGUGUAGUAGGAGCUACCGGAGGUAUACGCCCUAAACCCCACAGAGGUUUAAACAGUGGUGUAGUAGGAGCUACACGGAGGUAUACGCCCUAAACCCCACAGAGGUUUAAACAGUGGUGUAGUAGGAGCUACACGGAGGUAUACGCCCUAAACCCCACAGAGGUUUAAACAGUGGUGUAGUAGGAGCUACACGGAGGUAUACGCCCUAAACCCCACAGAGGUUUAAACAGUGGUGUAGUAGGAGCUACACGGAGGUAUACGCCCUAAACCCCACAGAGGUUUAAACAGUGGUGCAGUAGGAGCUACACGGAGGUAUACGCCCUAAACCCCACAGAGGUUUAAACAGUGGUGUAGGAGGUAUACGCCCUAAACCCCACAGAGGUUUAAACAGUGGUGUAGUAGGAGCUACACGGAGGUAUACGCCCUAAACCCCACAGAGGUUUAAACAGUGGUGUAGUAGGAGCUACACGGAGGUAUACGCCCUAAACCCCACAGAGGUUUAAACAGUGGUGUAGUAGGAGCUACAUGGAGGUAUACGCCCUAAACCCCACAGAGGUUUAAACAGUGGUGUAGUAGGAGCUACACGGAGGUAUACGCCCUAAACCCCACAGAGGUUUAAACAGUGGUGUAGUAGGAGCUACACGGAGGUAUACGCCCUAAACCCCACAGAGGUUUAAACAGUGGUGUAGUAGGAGCUACACGGAGGUAUACGCCCUAAACCCCACAGAGGUUUAAACAGUGGUGCAGUAGGAGCUACACGGAGGUAUACGCCCUAAACCCCACAGAGGUUUAAACAGUGGUGUAGUAGGAGCUACACGGAGGUAUACGCCCUAAACCCCACAGAGGUUUAAACAGUGGUGUAGUAGGAGCUACACGGAGGUAUACGCCCUAAACCCCACAGAGGUUUCAAUAAAGGUUCAAUAAAAUAAAUAUGCACAAAACCCACUUUUUGUUCAGUGGACAUUGGGUAUAGUCACUUCUUAAUUCCCACUGAUCCGUAUCAAAGUAGUGUAGUGGUGGUAUAAAUGGUAUCAAGUAUGUGGUACAAUAGAGAAAGUAGCCUACACAAUCGCAAAGCACGUGUAUUAUAUUCACAUGUGCGCUGCACACAGCCAAGUUUCAGCUGAAUAUCAUGGCAGUAAGAGCCGCAGCUGGUUGUCCCAUGGAGCAGCUCUUUGCAGUGCUCAAUUCAGUCAUCGUGCUGUUUUGAAUGAACAUUUCCAAAUGCUUUCCCAAGGAAAACUUCCUAAUUAAAGCUGCAAUAUGUACAUUUGGGCGACCCAACGAGAUCAUAGAGGUUGAGAAUGUACAAAGACUCUCUGUACAAUUACCUAUUGUUUUGUCACAAACUGAAAUUAGGCAAACUUAGAAUUUUAGCAACCAGGAAAUGGCGGAGCUAUUUCUGUAUAGUGCAUCUUUAAAUGUUGACUGCAAAUUGGGCCUACAAGAUAUAAUUAUGAUUUGUAUCAAUCUGGAGGGCAUUUCUUUUGAAAACUCUGCAAUCACAUGUACUCUACUGUAGGCCUACAUUGUAGAGUACAGACACUGCGAGCCACAUGGUAUUUUGCUUAAUUAUUUUAAAGGGCAACUAGACCCUCGCAAAAUAGUAUUUUAGAUUUUUCCCAGACCUAAAAAAUGGUCUCCUUGUGCGGUAUAAGCAUUGAUGUGGGCUUAACAUGCAUUUGUUGUUUUUCUAUGAAAGAUUUUUCUGGCAAAAUGAUGGUGUACUCACUUCUCCAGGCAUCGCUACACCAAUGGGUUUUCCUGUAUCUGUGAGUGAUUUGAUUUGGGACCUGAAUCUCCAACAGGCUUAGGCUGUUUACACAAUGGAUCAUCAUGUCUCACUCCCAUAGGCUGCUUCACUUGUCAAUCAAGCCUCUGCUAUCUCGCCCUGUAAUCUGCGAUAUCUCUCUCUCAAACACUCCUCUGUCUCUCAUCGUCAACUCUUUAUUUAAGUAAGAUAUUAAGCAACUUCUCUUAUCCUACAGUAUCUUCACCUGUCUGACAAAUGAAGCAAAUGAGAAAAUAAAACAAUCUGAAGAGAACCACACAGGGUUGAAUGGAUGAAAGCUGAUGUCAUUUAGUAAUUUAACUUAUUGACUUAUUGUAAUGAAUUGUAACAUUAUUUUAAAUGAAAUUGAAAACAUUGAUGUCUUCUCUC